UACGGAGGAUCCGAGCGUUAUCCGGAUUUAUUGGGUUUAAAGGGUGCGUAGGUGGAUUGGUAAGUCAGUGGUGAAAGUUUGCAGCUUAACUGUAAAAGUGCCUUCGAAACUGGUUUCCUUGAGUGUAGAUGAAGUAGGCGGAAUUUGUGGUGUAGCGGUGAAAUGCAUAGAUAUCACGAGGAACUCCGAUUGCGCAGGCAGCUUACUAAACCAUAACUGACGCUCAGGCACGAAGGCGUGGGGAUCAAACAGGAUUAGAUACCCCUGUAGUCCCU
rnacentral:rRNA from 1 species